CCAGCCUGCCGCGGCGGCGGGCACCCCGCCUGCCCCCCGCGCUCUCCCACCCGCAUCGCCGCGGGAACGGUUCGCGGCGCUCCCCUACCCAAAAGCUCUCCACGAAAUACGCCAUCAUCAUCCCGCCGUCGCCGCCCCGGUCCCGGCCCCAGCUCCAGCUCUCCCGGCCCGGCCCGGCCCCAACCGCCGAGACGCGACGGAGGAAGCAGGCGCCGCCGCCACGCGCCGCCCUUCCCGUCACGGCGCGCCGCCUCCCUCCACACGGCGGCUCCGCCCCGCCGCGCAUGCGCGUGGGUGAGGCGGGCCGAUGAGGCUUCUGCGCAGGUGCCGCCAGGACCACGCCCGGGAGGGGGAGGUAUUGGUUUACAGUGGUUGCCAAGGAAGGAUACUGGGUUAGUUAGCUGCUGUCCCAGUACAAUUGCUCCUUUGUUCUUCCAGCAUCAUGGGAGUGGACAGAAAAGAAUGCUAUUCUGAUAGCCGUAACUAUACCAUCCACAGACAGACACCUCAGCACCUACUAAUGGAAGGUACCACCUUCAUCAGCUGGAAGACAGACUUGAACUUCACAGUGCUCU
rnacentral:lncRNA from 1 species